GUUUGCAGUUCACCGUACACGCAGCUGUCAAUAUGCAUCACUAUCAUUGUUUACAAUCGGUGUAGGUUCGCCCAUACAAAGGCAGCUCUGUAUUUUAGGCAAAAUAGAGAGGCUCUCGCUUCCCACAUCUCCACACUUCAUGAUCAGGGACCUAUGAUGCCAUGGGAGAUGAUGGCAGUGAAGGAGGUGCUUUUGUGGUGUUUUCUGGGCGCUCUGCUCGUGUGGGUUGGAUCGUUGUGUGUUCCCUCUCAGUGUCUUGAUUGUGAAAAAACAACAAAAGUUCCGGCACUGAACGAAUCCUCAGAGGUUUGCGAUGUCUGCGCAAAUAACACAUGCUUUUCUGUCCUCAAACUUGAUGUUAUGGGCUCACACCAGUCGUACUCCCUAACACCAGAUGCCACGGCCCAUCUGAACCCCAGCUCCGAAUAUUCCGUGAAUGAGGGAGACAACCUCAUUCUGCACUGCUACCACAACCUGCCGCUAGUGGACCUGUUUGAGUGGCUGCGAGACGGUGAAGUGCUCGAAUACUCGAAUGUCAGCAAAGUCACACUGAAGGCGUUCAGCACGGCCAAGGGAGCCUACCGAUGCAGGGUCCGAAGUCCCUGUGGCAACUUCACCUCCGAGGAACAGCAGCUGGAUGUUGAAGACGGCAGUGUGCUCUUGGUGGUACUGUGUGGUUCCUGUGCCGUGGUGUUGGUGCUGGGGAUGGGAGCCUCCAUGAAGUACAAGCAGAAGAAAGAGCAAGCUGCUCAAAAGAGGCGCCAGGAGGAGCGCGCCAAGGCGCUCCAGAUGACCUCAAGCAUGACUCCGAGAAAUACCUGAAAAAGUUUGUUCAUUGUCGUGAUGGGUGUGAACUGGGCCAGGGGCGGUUCUAGGUUGCAUUAACAUCCGGGGCUUAGCCCAGAGGGAAAAGAAAAGGAUCCCUUUGGGCAUACAAUUUAAUUUUUUUUGUCCGCUUUAUUGUGCAUGCAAAUUUUUUCUGAAUGCUUUACCUAAAUAAACAAAAAUACGCGGUUUAUUAUAGCUUUAAAUAGCUACCUGACUGCUUUGCUGCUUAUCCCUAAACAUCUACAGCUCAAUUCAAGUUAUUUAAGAGUAAAUGAAUGCAAGUGGGA
ensembl:lncRNA